GGCCCAAUGGUCUAGUGGUAUGAUUCGCGCUUCGGGUGGUCAACUUGGUUUCUGACAGUCCCCAUUGCCUAGGCAACAGGCAAUGGGCAACUGAUAUGUGCGAGGUCUUGGGUCGAAUCCUGAUUGGGCUA